GGCGGGUCAACUUCACGCGUUAAGCUGACCCUGAGCCAGGAUCAAACUCCGCGAGCGGGGGACCGAAAGGCCUCGCGCUCAAGGGGCGGCCGAUGGCAGAUUAGCUAGUUGGUGGGGUAAAGGCCUACCAAGGCGACGAUCUGUAGCUGGUCUGAGAGGACGACCAGCCACACUGGGACUGAGACACGGCCCAGACUCCUACGGGAGGCAGCAGUGGGGAAUUUUGGACAAUGGGGGCAACCCUGAUCCAGCAAUGCCGCGUGUGUGAAGAAGGCCUUCGGGUUGUAAAGCACUUUUGUCCGGAAAGAAAACCACUUCUCUAAUACAGAGGUGGGAUGACGGUACCGGAAGAAUAAGCACCGGCUAACUACGUGCCAGCAGCCGCGGUAAUACGUAGGGUGCGAGCGUUAAUCGGAAUUACUGGGCGUAAAGCGUGCGCAGGCGGUUCGUUAAGACCGAUGUGAAAUCCCCGGGCUUAACCUGGGAACUGCAUUGGGUGACUGGCGGCUAGAGUAUGGCAGAGGGGGUAGAAUUCCGCGU
rnacentral:rRNA from 1 species